rnacentral:rRNA from 1 species
UACGGAGGGUGCAAGCGUUAUCCGGAUUUACUGGGUUUAAAGGGUGCGUAGGCGGACUUUUAAGUCAGUGGUGAAAUCCCCGAGCUUAACUCGGAAACUGCCAUUGAUACUAUUAGUCUUGAAUUCGGUCGAGGUUGGCGGAAUGUGUCGUGUAGCGGUGAAAUGCUUAGAUAUGACACAGAACACCGAUUGCGAAGGCAGCUAGCUAGACCGACAUUGACGCUGAGGCACGAAAGCGUGGGGAGCAAACAGG